GAAACGCGAUCAGAAAGGUAUGAUGUCAUAGUACUAAGUGCUGGAGAUCAUUGUAAACAAGCCUUUGAAAGAUUACUUAAGACUUCCCUGCAGUAAAUACCUAACGAAGAUCACCAAUAUACACAUGCAAGAUGGAUGGAAAAGCCAAUGGACCUAGUGUGAGUUCCUGAAGCUUCUAGACUAAUGUGAGUCCAGAGCAGGUCUGUAUUGGAUCCCACUCAAUCUGAUGACAUGUUCUUUGGUGACAGAGUUUUAUGAGGUUUCAGGGUACAUGAUUUUCAAUCCAAUAUUUAAUCAUACUUGAAAAAAGUGUAACUGGACUGUUGGAUUUACGGGAGAAAGGUGGGAAGCCAAAAUGCUAUAGAAAGAAGAGUGUAUGCAACGGUAUGAGGAACUGUUCCACAUUAAAGGAGACUAAGAAGACAUAACAACUCAAUGCAAUGUGUGAUUCUGGACUGGAUCUUGCAUUGGAGGAGAAAAAUGCUAUAAAAGAUAUCACUGAGACAGUUAACAUCAUUGGAACAUGGAUGGUUGAUUAGAUGGAAGUAUUACAUUAAUGAUACAUUUCCUGAAUUUGGUAACUUUGCUAUUGUUACCUACAAGAAUAAUCUUGCUCUUAGGAAACAGUAAUUGAAGUAUUAAAAAUUUAAGAGGCAUAACAAAAUGAAUGUGGCUAAAUGUUUAAAAUGGUGAAUCUGAGUAAAGGGUAUACAGGAAUUUCCAAGUACUAUUCUUGCAAAUUUUAUGUUCAAAAUUCAAAAAUAUUCAAAAUAUUCAAAAUUAUUGCAAAAUGUAAAAAAAAAAAAAAAAUAGAAAUAAAGAUGAGUUUUGGGAACCCAAUUCAGAUACCUUAUCCACUAAGAUUAAACUUGACUAAUUACAGAUUAAACAGAGCAGGCAAAACCAAAUUUGUUGACAUCAAUUUCCAGUCUCUGGGAUUGCCCACUCUAGUGUCAGUCAACUGCCACGUCCUCAGACAGUCUAUACAGAGAUUCCUUCUGCUGACGAGGAGGAACUAAUAUCUUAAUAUGGGUUUUAUUUUAUGUUAAGUAAGGAGAAGGAAUAUUUACCAGUUUAAGAUUGUUUCCAUAUUAUGCUAGUGAAUUUUACUUCAGUUAUAAUGAAUUGAGACAUUUCUUCAAACAGGAUCACAAGAUAAAAAUAGUGCAGAGUUAAAGCUGCCUCUACUUUUGGACUUUGGAUUUACUUUUUGCAUUUUGUUAGCCUAUUUCGAACUCUUUCCCAUUCUUAAUAGUUGCUUGCUGGCAAAGCCGCUUCCUUUGUUUCACAUAGGCUGCUUACCUAGCCAGUGCUGGGGAGAAGCCUCCUUCUGGGGAUGACACUGGGCCACAAUUCAAGAUAGAAUCAGAUUUAGUGACACAAGAUUUGGCCUAGACUAGAAUACAAAAUGAAAAGUAGAAGUUUUACAGCUCACCAAACUGCCUCUGCAUUCACUCAGAAAAAAAUGUUCCAAAGCGUUCAAGCCAGCUUUUCAGAAAUAUUAUAGUUGUAAAAUCUGUGACACCAGUAAUAGUUGUGCCAAGCAUGAGUUUUAUUUUAGUAAGUUGUUUACCUAUGCCAAUAUUUAAGUGUACUUCUGUGCAAAAAGAUGUGGAUAAUAGUUCUCUUUAUAGAAAAAUCAAUGUACCCAAAUAGUCAUAAAAUAUCACAGUGUGUACAUGCACAUGCAUUAUGCAAGUACAAAUAGAUCUACAUUGUACCAGAUGUGAUCUAAUCAUCCUGGAAGCUCUUUUUUAGGUAUAUGAUAUGAAAAAAUGCUGAACAGGCUUUUUUCUUAGAGUGAAGCCACACAUUCCACGUUACUAAUAGCAAAUUAUAUUUGACAUGUAAUUUUAAAAUGAAGUUAAUCUAAAGUAAUAGUGCAACAACAGGGAUAAGCAAUGAAGCCUUUCAUAAGACAAAAUGGAUUUUAAGAUUCUAGAGAGGAGUUUCAGUUACAAGUAAUUAGAAAUGAAAUUUAGGACACGUAAAAUGUAUUUCUUUCAAUGGUUAAUUACAUUCGGCCAUCUAUUGUUCCAAAUGGUGAUGGACUAAUAAAUUGUAAUCAUCAUCUCUC